CAGCCGCCGCGGGAACACGUAGGGUGCAAGCGUUAAUCGGAAUUACUGGGCGUAAAGCGUGCGCAGGCGGUUUUGUAAGACAGAGGUGAAAUCCCCGGGCUCAACCUGGGAACUGCCUUUGUGACUGCAAGGCUAGAGUACGGCAGAGGGGGAUGGAAUUCCGCGUGUAGCAGUGAAAUGCGUAGAUAUGCGGAGGAACACCGAUGGCGAAGGCAAUCCCCUGGGCCUGUACUGACGCUCAUGCACGAAAGCGUGGGGAGCAAACAGGAUUAGAGACCCCUGUAGUCCCUGUCUCUUAUAC
rnacentral:rRNA from 1 species